rnacentral:rRNA from 1 species
AACAGGAUUAGAUACCCUGGUAGUCCACGCCGUAAACGAUGUCGACUUGGAGGUUGUGCCCUUGAGGCGUGGCUUCCGGAGCUAACGCGUUAAGUCGACCGCCUGGGGAGUACGGCCGCAAGGUUAAAACUCAAAUGAAUUGACGGGGGCCCGCACAUGCGGUGGAGUAUGUGGUUUAAUUCGAUGCAACGCGAAGAACCUUACCUACUCUUGACAUCCAGAGAACUUAGCAGAGAUGCUUUGGUGCCUCCGGGAACUCUGAGACAGGUGCUGCAUGGCUGUCGUCAGCUCGUGUUGUGAAAUGUUGGGUUAAGUCCCGCAACGAGCGCAACCCUUAUCCUUUGUUGCCAGCGGUCCGGCCGGGAACUCAAAGGAGACUGCCAGUGAUAAACUGGAGGAAGGUGGGGAUGACGUCAAGUCAUCAUGGCCCUUACGAGUAGGGCUACACACGUGCUACAAUGGCGCAUACAAAGAGAAGCGACCUCGCGAGAGCAAGCGGACCUCAUAAAGUGCGUCGUAGUCCGGAUUGGGGUCUGCAACUCGACUCCAUGAAGUCGGAAUCGCUAGUAAUCGUGGAUCAGAAUGCCACGGUGAAUACGUUCCCGGGCCUUGUACACACCGCCCGUCACACCAUGGGAGUGGGUUGCAAAAGAAGUAGGUAGCUUAACCUUCGGGAGGGCGCUUACCACUUUGUGAUUCAUGACUGGGGUGAAGUCGUAACAAGGUAACC